rnacentral:rRNA from 1 species
AGUGGGGAAUAUUGCACAAUGGGGGAAACCCUGAUGCAGCGACGCCGCGUGGAGGAAGAAGGUCUUCGGAUUGUAAACUCCUGUUGUUGGGGAAGAUAAUGACGGUACCCAACAAGGAAGUGACGGCUAACUACGUGCCAGCAGCCGCGGUAAAACGUAGGUCACAAGCGUUGUCCGGAAUUACUGGGUGUAAAGGGAGCGCAGGCGGGAAGACAAGUUGGAAGUGAAAUCUAUGGGCUCAACCCAUAAACUGCUUUCAAAACUGUUUUUCUUGAGUAGUGCAGAGGUAGGCGGAAUUCCCGGUGUAGCGGUGGAAUGCGUAGAUAUCGGGAGGAACACCAGUGGCGAAGGCGGCCUACUGGGCACCAACUGACGCUGAGGCUCGAAAGUGUGGGUAGCAAACAGGAUUAGAUACCCUGGUAGUCCACACUGUAAACGAUGAUUACUAGGUGUUGGGGGAUUGACCCCCUCAGUGCCGCAGUUAACACAAUAAGUAAUCCACCUGGGGAGUACGACCGCAAGGUUGAAACUCAAAGGAAUUGACGGGGGCCCGCACAAGCAGUGGAGUAUGUGGUUUAAUUCGACGCAACGCGAAGAACCUUACCAAGUCUUGACAUCCUGCGACGGUGCUAGAAAUAGUACUUUCCUUCGGGACGCAGAGACAGGUGGUGCAUGGUUGUCGUCAGCUCGUGUCGUGAGAUGUUGGGUUAAGUCCCGCAACGAGCGCAACCCCUAUGGUCAGUUACUACGCAAGAGGACUCUGGCCAGACUGCCGUUGACAAAACGGAGGAAGGUGGGGAUGACGUCAAAUCAUCAUGCCCUUUAUGACUUGGGCUACACACGUACUACAAUGGCGUUUAACAAAGAGAAGCGAAGUCGCGAGGCAGAGCAAAACUCAGAAACAACGUCCCAGUUCGGACUGCAGGCUGCAACUCGCCUGCACGAAGUCGGAAUUGCUAGUAAUCGCAGAUCAGCAUGCUGCGGUGAAUACGUUCCCGGGCCUUGUACACACCGCCCGUCACACCAUGAGAGCCGGGGGGACCCGAAGUCGGUAGUCUAACCGCAAGGAGGACGCCGCCGAAGGUAAAACUGGUGAUUGGGGUGAAGUCGUAACAAGGUAGCCGUAGGAGAACCUGCGGCUG